rnacentral:lncRNA from 1 species
GUAACUCGUUCAGUAUGCCUUCACGGCCUCUUAAUGAAACGCGCGGCCCCGAGGCGAGACCCAUUCAUCCCCGCAGAUGGUCCCCGCCGCCCUGCUUUGUGCAAGCUGAGCACCGGCGCCAGCUGCACACCCACCCGCACCCAGACAUCUGCGGACCGAGCCGUCUUUUGUUUGGCGGGGACCGCCCCUGGACGUCUGGAUCCGCACCUCGUUCUGGCAGGAACAGCCGAUGUGUGUGAUGAUGGACGCCAGACGGCCGCAGAUCACCGAUCAUCCUGCGCACGAUCCCGGGCCGAAUUCCGCCUGGUUGCCAGGGAUACGGCUGUCUAAAAGCCCGGUCUCCGAGCCUAACCAAACACAUGACGGUGUGCGUGUGCGUGUGUGUGUGUGUGUGUGUGUGUGUGUGUGUGUGAGAGAGAGAGAGAUAGAGAGAGCGCACUGCGCUGGGAGGAGCUCACUCCUCUUCUCUCCAGACCAGGAUGUGGAGCGCCUCACCUCCCCAGCGGUGCUGCUACAUCGCUCCUCGUUACCCAGCAGACUCUGCGCGGGCCGGGCCGGGCCGGGCCGGGCCGGAACCGUUCAGGGUGUUCAAGCUCCAAGCUGCCAUGGAUGGGGAAAAAGACGCCUUCGUCAUCCGGCUGAAAGGAAACCCCAGAGUCUUGGAGGCAGACAGGGGGUUCCGAAGGGGAGCCUCGCACCCCUGGACGUGGCCAAGCGACCAGCGAUGCCAUUUUUACCGGUAAAGCGCCUCCAUUAGUCAAACGGACUUGCAGGAAGAAAGACGUGCUUUAGUUGCUGUCUGAGGAAGAGCUGCGGAUUGGAGAAUUAGGAUGCUAAGCUCCUUAGGCGGCGUCCAAGAACAAACUCCCCCUCUCCCAUUCUUGAUCACCAGCUCAGCUGCGUUUACACGGCCUGCAGAAAUCACGAGGACGCCUACCAUCCUCUGUCUCAUCGUCACGGGAGGACAAG